rnacentral:rRNA from 1 species
CAUCCUCCAAGGCUAAAUACUCCUGACUGACCGAUAGUGAACCAGUACCGUGAGGGAAAGGCGAAAAGAACCCCGGCGAGGGGAGUGAAAAAGAACCUGAAACCGUGUACGUACAAGCAGUGGGAGCACCCUUUCGGGUGUGACUGCGUACCUUUUGUAUAAUGGGUCAGCGACUUAUAUUCUGUAGCAAGGUUAACCGUAUAGGGGAGCCGGAGGGAAACCGAGUCUUAAUUGGGCGUUAAGUUGCAGGGUAUAGACCCGAAACCCGGUGAUCUAGCCAUGGGCAGGUUGAAGGUUGGGUAACACUAACUGGAGGACCGAACCGACUAAUGUUGAAAAAUUAGCGGAUGACCUGUGGCUGGGGGUGAAAGGCCAAUCAAACCGGGAGAUAGCUGGUUCUCCCCGAAAGCUAUUUAGGUAGCGCCUCGUGAAUUCAUCUCCGGGGGUAGAGCACUGUUUCGGCUAGGGGGCCAUCCCGGCUUACCAACCCGAUGCAAACUGCGAAUACCGGAGAAUGUUAUCACGGGAGACACACGGCGGGUGCUAACGUCCGUCGUGAAGAGGGAAACAACCCAGACCGCCAGCUAAGGUCCCAAAGUCAUGGUUAAGUGGGAAACGAUGUGGGAAGGCCCAGACAGCCAGGAUGUUGGCUUAGAAGCAGCCAUCAUUUAAAGAAAGCGUAAUAGCUCACUGGUCGAGUCGGCCUGCGCGGAAGAUGUAACGGGGCUAAACCAUGCACCGAAGCUGCGGCAGCGACGCUUAUGCGUUGUUGGGUAGGGGAGCGUUCUGUAAGCCUGCGAAGGUGGCCUGUGAGGGUUGCUGGAGGUAUCAGAAGUGCGAAUGCUGACAUAAGUAACGAUAAAGCGGGUGAAAAGCCCGCUCGCCGGAAGACCAAGGGUUCCUGUCCAACGUUAAUCGGGGCAGG